UAACAAACUCUUGGAUGGCUC
rnacentral:siRNA from 1 species